rnacentral:tRNA from 1 species
CCGUCGAUAGCUCAGUUGGCAGAGCGGUGGACUGUAGAGGUUGUAAAGCAGUAAUCCAUAGGUCGCUAGUUCGACUCCGGCUCGACGGA